AGGUGGAAACACUUCUCGAUCAGCUGAAAACUGUGGGGUUUUCAUACUGCGUUAGAAGUAGUCGUUUUAAAGAGCCUUCUUCAGAUGUUAUGAAAAGUAAAACAAAGCAUUUCUUCAAGCAAAUGCAGGGACAUGUCCCUAUCCCCUUUUUUGGUUGUGCAUUUGCAGUGGAGAGUGUGUGGUCGAGGCACUGUGUUUUGGGGCCAAAAUACUAUAAAAGUAAAGAGUCUAGUGUACCUGAGCACUUGGAAGACCAUGUGACUCCUCGUAAGAGAUUGAGGAUCAUGGAUACUAGAA